rnacentral:tRNA from 1 species
UCCAGUGUAGCAUAGUGGUUUGAGUGUUGGACUAUGACUCUGGAGACCAGGGUUUGAUCCCCCACUCAGCAA